AAAUUCCCUUGGGGAGUGGGGUUUGCGUAAGCACAUUUUAGUAUAUUCCUCUCGCAUAUUACUCAUUUCAUUCAUUCCCCCUUCUUCCAUAUUCUUCUUCAUACCUUCAAUUCCCCAUCUCUUUUUCCUCUAACCACUUCUUCUUCUUGUUCUCUCUCUUUCUCACACAAAACAAGUAUUUAGUUCGUAUUAUUUGAUAUCAGAGCCAAUCAUUAUGUCGGGAAUCAGAUGUAACAUGAAGAGAAAGGACUAUUGUUAGGUCAGUAUUGAUGGAGUGGUCAUUGUGGAUGCCAGUUGCAAGAGAGCAUAGUAUAGUCGGUUUUUAAGCCGCACUGACAGUCCAAACCAGAAUUUGUCGAUUGGGCCACCGUAAUCAAAUCUGAUUUCAGCUGCGGUAAUGUUACAAGCGCACCACUUAUAUCUUGAAAGAGCACCAGGGCGACAAUCUAAAACACAUCCCCUGCGAAGAGAAGGGACGCAAGCAGACAUUUUGGGGACACUUGACAGACAUGUGUCUUGUAAUUGGACACAACUCAAGACACCUUUGUCCUACAUAUUCCUCAAGAUAUUCCUGCACAGCAGACGUAACAUGAAACCCGUUAAGUUGUCACAUGACCACGUAAAGCAUGCAAGAACUAUGUUCUUCGGGUCAGAUCCCAAGAGUACACAUAAUUUCUGAUGGAUGACUGAGUUGAAAAUCAUGAAAGAAUAUUUCAGAGAGAGAGAGAGAGAUGCUUCUGUUAAAAACAAAAUUUUCCAAAUCAACAAUGACCAAGAUGAAGAGCAGCACAAUGAAAGACAAGAUGAAGAACAACAAUGACCUUUGAGUAAUGGGUGUCCAAAUCAACAGCUGCCCUCUGCUCAGGAGUUUUAGCCCUCAAGAAACGAAUUGCAAUGGAUAAUGUUUUCCGGUCAAGCUGCAAAGGAGUAAAGAGCAUGAACAUCAAAUGGGGUAACUGGCUUCAAUUGUAAAAUAAAUAUUCUUGAUCUUCUUCAACAACAAAUAAACAUUUGGUACACAAUAUGACUCUAAACAGAAGUUAAAUUUAUAUUAAUGCGAAAAUUCCAAAAGGUGGGAGCCAAA